rnacentral:rRNA from 1 species
GUGCCAGCAGCCGCGGUAAUACGUAGGGGGCGAGCGUUGUCCGGAUUUAUUGGGCGUAAAGAGCUCGUAGGCGGUUUGGCAAGUCGGGUGUGAAAACUCCGGGCUCAACUCGGAGACGCCACUCGAUACUGCUAUGACUCGAGUCCGGUAGGGGAGUGCGGAAUUCCUGGUGUAGCGGUGAAAUGCGCAGAUAUCAGGAGGAACACCGGUGGCGAAGGCGGCACUCUGGGCCGGUACUGACGCUGAGGAGCGAAAGCGUGGGGAGCGAACAGGAUUAGAUACCCCUGUAGUCC